UUUUCAUCAUUAUUCAGCUACUACCCAUGGCGACGAAGUGUUCAGUUUGCACAGUGACAAUUCUCCAAGCCAUGGCUUUGAAGAUGUCUUACCAUGUUACAGAGGAUUCACACCUAACUUUCCUUUAUCAGGGCCAAUAUCGUAUGAACUGCUCAUCGAUGCUGCUGUCGACAUUGUUGAACAGAGCAACCGCCAGUUUCAUGUUCUGGUGAUUGGCGCCGAUGGGCAUGGACUGAGAUGUUUCGAUAUGGCCUAGGGGGAACUCAGACAACAAGAGAAAGCAACUAUUUCUUAACGUAAGGUAAAAG